AACCUUACCGAGGGCUUGACACUCCCCUGACCGCGUAUGAAAGUACGUUUUCACCCUCGGGUGACAGGGAGACAGGUGGUGCAUGGGUUGUCGUCAGCUCGUGUCGUGAGAUGUUGGGUUAAGUCCCGCAACGAGCGCAACCCCUACGUUUAGUUGCUAACAGGUGAAGCUGAGCACUCUAGACGAACUGCCGUUGACAAAACGGAGGAAGGUGGGAUGACGUCAAAUCAUCAUGCCCCUUAUGUUCUGGGCUACACACGUGCUACAAUGGCCGGUACAGACGGAGGCGAAGCCGCGAGGCGGAGCAAAUCCGAAAAAGCCGGUCUCAGUUCGGAUUGCAGGCUGCAAUUCGCCUGCAUGAAGUCGGAAUCGCUAGUAAUCGCAGGUCAGCAUACUGCGGUGAAUACGUUCCCGGGCCUU
rnacentral:rRNA from 1 species